rnacentral:rRNA from 1 species
UACGAAGGGGGCUAGCGUUGCUCGGAAUUAUUGGGUUUAAAGGGUGCGUAGGCGGUUCUAUAAGUCAGUGGUGAAAUACGGCAGCUCAACUGUCGAGGUGCCAUUGAUACUGUGGAACUUGAGUACAGACGAGGUAGGCGGAAUUGACGGUGUAGCGGUGAAAUGCUUAGAUAUCGUCAAGAACACCGAUAGCGAAGGCAGCUUACUAGACUGUAACUGACGCUGAGGCACGAAAGUGUGGGGAUCAAACAGG